rnacentral:rRNA from 1 species
UACGUAGGGUGCAAGCGUUGUCCGGAAUUGUUGGGCGUAAAGAGCGUGUAGGCGGCCCGGUAAGUCCGCUGUGAAAGUCGGGGGCUCAACCCUCGAAUGCCGGUGGAUACUGUCGGGCUAGAGUGCGGAAGAGGCGAGUGGAAUUCCUGGUGUAGCGGUGAAAUGCGCAGAUAUCAGGAGGAACACCGAUUGCGAAGGCAGCUCGCUGGGACGUAACUGACGCUGAGACGCGAAAGCGUGGGGAGCAAACAGG